AGCAGUCGCCACGGUAAUACGUAGGUGGCAAGCGUUGUCCGGAAUUAUUGGGCGUAAAGCGUGCGUAGGCGGCUUUUUAAGUCGGAUGUGAAAUCCCUGAGCUUAACUUAGGAAUUGCAUUCGAUACUGGGAAGCUAGAGUAUGGGAGAGGAUGGUAGAAUUCCAGGUGUAGCGGUGAAAUGCGUAGAGAUCUGGAGGAAUACCGAUGGCGAAGGCAGCCAUCUGGCCUAAUACUGACGCUGAGGUACGAAAGCAUGGGGAGCAAACAGGAUUAGAUACCCGUGUAGUCCCUGUCUCUUAUAC
rnacentral:rRNA from 1 species